CUAAGCAGGAGGUGGACCAGAUGUUGUCUAAAGGUUCUGAUGAUGUUCUAGUCUAACCAGGAAGUGGACCAGAUGUUGUCUAAAGGUUCUGAUGAUGUUCUAGUCUAACCAGGAAGUGGACCAGAUGUUGUCUAAAGGUUCUGAUGAUGUUCUAGUCUAACCAGGAAGUGGACCAGAUGUUGUCUAAAGGUUCUGAUGAUGUUCUAGUCUAACCAGGAAGUGGACCAGAUGUUGUCUAAAGGUUCUGAUGAUGUUCUAGUCUAACCAGGAAGUGGACCAGAUGUUGUCUAAAGGUUCUGAUGAUGUUCUAGUCUAACCAGGAGGUGGACCAGAUGUUGUCUAAAGGUUCUGAUGAUGUUCUAGUCUAACCAGGAAGUGGACCAGAUGUUGUCUAAAGGUUCUGAUAAUGUUCUAGUCUAACCAGGAAGUGGACCAGAUGUUAUCUAAAGGUUCUGAUAAUGUUCUAGUCUAACCAGGAAGUGGACCAGAUGUUAUCUAAAGGUUCUGAUGAUGUUCUAGUCUAACCAGGAGGUGGACCAGAUGUUGUCUAAAGGUUCUGAUGAUGUUCUAGUCUAACCAGGAAGUGGACCAGAUGUUGUCUAAAGGUUCUGAUGAUGUUCUAGUCUAACCAGGAAGUGGACCAGAUGUUGUCUAAAGGUUCUGAUGAUGUUCUAGUCUAACCAGGAGGUGGACCAGAUGUUGUCUAAAGGUUCUGAUGAUGUUCUAGUCUAACCAGGAAGUGGACCAGAUGUUGUCUAAAGGUUCUGAUAAUGUUCUAGUCUAACCAGGAAGUGGACCAGAUGUUAUCUAAAGGUUCUGAUGAUGUUCUAGUCUAACCAGGAAGUGGACCAGAUGUUAUCUAAAGGUUCUGACAAUGUUCUAGUCUAAGCAGGAAGUGGACCAGAACAGUUGG